CUUACAGGACACAGACGGCCAAGUCUUCCUGAAUCCGGGACUACUGGUGGUUCUGUUCGAUGAUGUGCCAGUUCGGUUUGCAUUCCGGGAAUUGAACCCAAGACCCUUUGGUGAGUGGCCCAAUGCUCUAACCACUGAGUACACCGACAGAGCAAGCUCAUCUCCUUUUGACAACGUUCCUUCUUGGCCUGGUCUUGGGUCUCUGCCCUUUACGGAUAGCAGCCCAAGACCCUGGUGGCCUGUGAUUGUGUCUUUCAUGACACUCUCCAGUUUGAGUCCCUGACUCCUAUGCCUAGUUACAUUCGAAUGCUAUACUUUUUAUAUCGGAUGAUGGGAUCAGAAAUAAGAAAGGAGAAUUGAUACCCAAAGCAAUCUAUAAAUUCAACGCACUUUCCAUUAAAAUACCA